UUGGGUUAAGUCCGUACGAGCGCAACCCUGUCCUUAGUUACCAGCACGUUAUGGUGGGCACUCUAAGGAGACUGCCGGUGACAAACCGGAGGAAGGUGGGGAUGACGUCAAGUCAUCAUGGCCCUUACGGCCUGGGCUACACACGUGCUACAAUGGUCGGUACAAAGGGUUGCCAAGCCGCGAGGUGGAGCUAAUCCCAUAAAACCGAUCGUAGUCCGGAUCGCAGUCUGCAACUCGACUGCGUGAAGUCGGAAUCGCUAGUAAUCGUGAAUCAGAAUGUCACGGUGAAUACGUUCCCGGGCCUU
rnacentral:rRNA from 1 species